UCCGGUUUGUCACCGGCAGUCUCAUUAGAGUGCCCAACUGAAUGUAGCAACUAAUGACAAGGGUUGCGCUCGUUGCGGGACUUAACCCAACAUCUCACGACACGAGCUGACGACAGCCAUGCAGCACCUGUGUCUAGGUUCCCUUUCGGGCACACUCACAUUUCUGCGAGCUUCCUAGCAUGUCAAGGGUAGGUAAGGUGGGGAUGACGUUUCCUCAUGCGUU
rnacentral:misc_RNA from 1 species